AAAGUCCUGAGGUGCACGUUAUUUAACCUAUUAGUUUUGACCGAACAUAUUAACUAGGGGAGCUUGGAGUUUUCUAGUUACGUACAUGCCUCAAUCGGAAGCUGGCAUUUCGCCGCCCGGAGGAAGUACAAUGGCCUGAAAUAGAGCACCCACCUGCUUUAAGCGGGUUCAAAACAAAGGCCGAGUAACGACACAAACGGGACUUUC
rnacentral:other from 1 species